AAAAAUUCAAAACAAGUUAAAUUGAACUUUUGCAACACUCGGACACCGAAACUUCACGCAAUGUAAAAGGGCAUUUUCUCUCUCACUUUACCCAAAUCUCUCAAUCUCUGUAUUCUUUCUCUCUCUCUCCCUCCAAGGUUCAUUUGCAAUGUUUCAAGUGUUGUCUGCUCGAAGGUUUUUCUUCACGAUGCUAACCUUGUUUGGUCGACAGACGAACGAUAAUGAUCUGGUCGACAGACGGAAAACGGAUCUGGUUGACGUUCGCGGAUGGAUCUGAUCUCGUAGAUCUAAACAGAGGACGGAUCUAGUCUCCUGGGUCUGCAACACAUGGAUCUUCAACGAACGGUGGUGAACGAACAACACACGGCGGCGGACGUAUGGGUCUGCCACGCACGGAAUGGAACUGUAACGCACGGAUCUUCAGCACAUGAUGGUGAAUGUAGAGAUUGCAAUGCACGGAUCAUCAUCAAACUUCAUGUCCUUGGAAGCAAGGAUGAUUGCUCACGCUACUUCAACCCCAUUUAAUUUGAGUUAGUGAUGACAUUAUUUAAUUUGAAUGAUUGGAUAAAAGACAAGGGAAGAAUCAGUGAAAACCGUUAGAACAAGGGAAAAUAAGCAGAAGAGGAAGGAAAGAUUAAAUAACUUCCAUGGUUUGAACCAUAGGCUUGAUAAACACUAAAAGUUGGAAGAUUUGGUCGGUGUUGGAGAACAAUAUGUUCUCAACUUGGUCGUAGACUCACCAACUAGUAUCGUGGUAGGCAUACAAAGCUACUGAAAGAGGCGUCAUGCUUUGUCAACACUGCAUUGCUUGAGAACCACUGUUGCAGGUAAGGUGUCUAGAAAGAUCCCUUGUUUCAUACUUCUUUUGAAGGUCUUACUUUGGCCAUUGUAUUUUUAGUAGACAUAUAUAUAUAUAUAUAUAUAUAU